AAGAAACAAAGUCACCUACAUCUUGGAUGCCCUGGGGCUCUGAGCUCCGGUGUGAACUCUUAUGUGUUUUACUUGGUGUCUGAGAAAAUGAACUGGACCGAAGCUCAGACCUACUGCAGACAGCAUCACACCGAUCUCGUCACCUUAAAUGACCAGACGUACAUCGAUGAGCUGUUACAAUCUCUACCCAGUGGUUUUAGCAAUUGAAUGUGGAUUGGACUCUAUCGGACGGAUGAGUAUUCUCCCUGGGUCUGGGUCUGGUCCGAUGGGAGCAAAGCCCUGUUCACACCGUGGGAUUCUUUACAACCAAACAAUGUUGGUGGCCACCAGUACUGUGUGUGCAUGUCUGCUAAAGGAUACUGGAGCGAUUAUUGGUGUACAGAUAAAUUACCAUUUAUUUGCUACACUGAGAAAAAGAGACAGAUGGUGAGACUGGAGGUAAAAUCAAGCCGAAAUGUGAAUGAUCCUGCAGUGAAGAGUAAGAUUUUGGCAGAGUUAGAGCAGAUACUGAAGGAGAAUGGUCUUGACAGAUGCCAAGCCCUCGUGGAGGGAGUUUUCUGGAGAAAAUGUCUUCCACAAGAUGUGGUAUCAGAAGAGUGAUGCUUCUAAUGCGUCCUGCAAGAGAACCAUGAACUGAUCAUCUCAUAAUAGCAUUUGUUGUGUAAUUGUAGAUGCUCUCAGAAAAUGUGGCUCACUGAGACAUGAGUUGUCGUUAUACAAUUAUGUAUGAACUACACCGUAGAGUUAAUAAAUCAAAGAUUAUUGGAGUAGAUUUUACAGGAAAAUACUAUUUCAGUCUUUCUACUUAAA